AAUGAAGAUGACGGAGUUAAUGCAACGUUAAAGUUAGGGGUUAAAUUGUUUGAUUUUAUCCACCAUAGGGGCUUAUUUGAUACACCCCUUGCCAUAAGGGGUUCAAUGCCAUAGGGGCCUCUACCAUAGGGGCUAAUCUGAUACUUAACCCUAAACUAAAUACCCCUCAAUUUCAAAAUCAGAUUUAAAUCUAGGGUUUCAAGUUUCACUCUGAGUUUCUGUUUCUCCGGUGAAUCUCGCUGUCGCCGCCGCCGCUGCUAGACCGUCCCUCAUGCCCUCUGUUCUUGUCGUUUCAGGUAUUUCUCUUACUUGUUCUCUCUCCCUCUGCCCUCUACUCUUCCUCUCCCGAUCUCCCUCUGCCCUCUGCUCUCGUUCGCGGCGACUGCCGCGAAUCGCCGCUGCGUAUGCAGCGCUGGCGGUCGCCGCCACCGCCGGCGAGAGCUAUGGCGGGAGAGAGAUUUACUGAUGAUUUGUGCCCUAGCAAUGGUGUCCUCGUCGCUGCUUCUGCCGAAAUCUGGCGGCAACUCGGAGGGGGACGCGCUCCACGCGAACCGCCGCGGCUCGAAAAUGAAGGACAAUUGAUUGUUCUUCCGCAAGAUGUCGUGGCAGCUCACGUUCCUGCGAGUGAUGCUCAAUAUUUCUAAUCCUACUCAUUACUUUAUUGUUUAAUUUUGGCAUAAAUCCUUACUAUGAUUGCUGAUCAUAUGAGAAUUCUCAGCUUUGGACGCAACAAAAAUUGGUCUAAAUAUGGGAAUUUGAACAUAUAAACGUAAUUCACACACUGAGAAAUUAAGUGGAUAUAAAGUUUGGUAUUUUUGUGUGGUUUUCUUGAAUACCUAGCCAUAGAUAGAUGUAUUCAUUUCCAACCAAGUGUAGUUGUCUAGUUGAAUUGAUAUGAUGCUUUUUCUAUAGCCAAUUGAUUGGAGGUUUGAGUCACUACAUGAGAAAUUGAGAAUUCUUAUUUUUCCUUUGAAAAAAAAUACUUCUAAGCUUCAAUCUUCUUAUAAUCAAAUUUCGAGUAGUUCGCAUGACAGUGGAUAUAACACAUAUUUUUAUAUAAUAUGCAUUGUAUUUUUAUAUAUGUAUGUAUGUAUGUAUGUAUGUAUAUAAUGUGUGUGUCAGUGUGAGAUUCAGAGAAGUAGGAUUAGAAUCAGCAACAGCCGUAUAUCAAUCCUGGAUUGAUUGCUCUUUCAGGAUUGACUUGCCCUGCUCCAGUUGCAAAUAGGUCAACAGGCUUAUAUCCAUCCAUUAUUGGUUUUCCUUGAUGAUCAUGUUUAUCUGUAGCUUUCUUGUUUACCUCUACAUUGCUAGAUCAUUUGCUAAUUGACUUGAAAUAACAAUAGUCUACCCUGCUGCAAAGAGAGUUUGGAGUAAAUUUGGACUGUUGUUUGUGUUAAGGCGGGGAAUCAUGUGGAGUUUUUAUGCCGCUUGAAGGAGUUGAUGUCAAGGUUGCAAAUAAUGAGAAACGUGGCAGUAUUCCACUCAAAACAAUACCUGAAGCUGAGUUUCUAAAGUAUAUUAGAGCAGCUAAAUGUGUGCAGGACAUACCCAUGUCGCUGAAGCAUUGAAAGUAUCAAUUCAUAUACUCCCUCCGUCCCACUCCAAUAGGCUCGUUUUCCUUUUUGGGACGUCCCACUCCAAUAGGCCCAGUCUAAAUUUAGAAAUAAUUAGAGACUUCUUAAUUCUUAAUUAAGAAAAGAUAUACACCUUUAAUUUGAAACCCAAAUUUUCAUUUUUCAUUUUAACUUCAUUCCUCCCCAUUCUCUCUCUAGCUUUCCCUCCCCUCUUCAAUUUCCGGCACCAUCUCCUUCGACUUCAGCGACGACCAGUCCUCCGCCGCCGUCAAGCUCACCACCAACUCUCGUAUCUUCCACAACACCACAAUCGAGAUCUUCUACGAUCUCUCCGCGGCCCGCUACAAGGCCGACCCGGAGCCCCUCAACAGCUACUACGGCUACUGCCGCCGACUCUCCAGAACUCCGGCGACACAGUCCCCAGGCCGCACCUCCGUCAUUCCUUGCCAGCCGCCGCCGCCAAUCGUUCCUUGCCAGCCGCCGCCAAGCCCUAGGUACCCAAAUUCCUAGAUCUUUAAAUUGCGGCCACCUCCUCCUCCUCAAUUUCCGGCGACAGCACCACAAGAUGAACAACGAUUUUGCGACGUUAUCCCUCUGUUCUCUGUUCUAAGGGUUUUGAACAGCAAUCUUGCGACCAUAUCUGAACUUAAAAUCAAUGAAUUUUUUGGUAACAUGGAUUUAGAUCUCCCUAAAUCAAUGAAUUUUUUCCCCAUUUUCCACAAGAUGUUUGCUGACGCCGCCGACUUGAAUUUUGAAAAGCGAUUUUGCUUAGUGUGAUUUAUGUUGAGGUUUGCAGAUUUUUCUUAGUAUGCUCUAUGUUGAGGUUUCGAACAGUGAUGUUUGUUGAUUAGUGUGAUUUUGCUCAAUUUAAUUGUAAGGUAAAUGUCUGCUUAAAUGCUUAAUUAAUGUAGAUUCCACCCUUUUUUCUUCAAAAAACCAAGUUUCUUAAUCUCCGUGCCGAAAAGAACUGAGCCUAUUAAGCCGGGACGGAGGGAGUAUUUUUCACAAUGCCUUGGACGUAAGUAUUGUCUAUAUUGUUUUGAGUCAUGGAGAGAUGACAUGGUAUUUAUUGAUUUUUGUUGGUUAAUGUAAAAUAUCCUCUGUUCUUUUCUUGUCAACCCCCCGAGGCAAAGAAUACAGGGUAAAUAGUGUGAUGAACUUCAUAUUUCUCUAGUCCUUUCAAAUUUUACUAAUUUAAUUACUUAAAGAAGAACUUAUAAUAGGAGAGUUUAGUGUGAUUUCCCAUGGUUCUGCAUGGAAGCUUAUAGUAAUUUAUAAGCUAGGUUAGAGUUUAGUGUAAUUUAUAAGCAAUGUUAUAUAUACACAGCAGGUAUAUAAUUCACUAUACAAACUUGUUUUUUCUAUGCUCUUAGAUUUUGUUCCUGGAAAGGUGAAGGCUGAGGAAGCUUUACCACAAGUAGUAGAGGCUGAGAAAUAAUAAGGAUUGAUCAUACAUUUGCUGAGUGGCUUGAAGAAUUUCAAAAGAUCACAUUGUGAUUAUAUAUUUUUUUUGUUAAUUUUGUUCUAUUUUGACUCUAGAUAGAACUAUUGUACUUGACAUUUUUUAUUAUCUUCGAAUGAUAAUUUUCGUACAAUAAUUAAUUAUUUAUAUAAUAUAUAUUUUGGAUUGUCCUA